rnacentral:rRNA from 1 species
GAUGAACGCUGGCGGCGUGCUUAACACAUGCAAGUCGAACGGACUUGUUAUGAAGCCUAGCGAAUAACAAGUUAGUGGCGGACGGGUGAGUAACGCGUGGGUAACCUGCCUUAUACAGGGGGAUAACACUUAGAAAUAGGUGCUAAUACCGCAUAAGCGCACAGUUUCGCAUGAAACAGUGUGAAAAACUCCGGUGGUAUAAGAUGGACCCGCGUUGGAUUAGCUAGUUGGCAGGGUAACGGCCUACCAAGGCGACGAUCCAUAGCCGGCCUGAGAGGGUGGACGGCCACAUUGGGACUGAGACACGGCCCAA